CCUACGGGAGGCAGCAGUGGGGAAUAUUGCACAAUGGGGGAAACCCUGAUGCAGCGACGCCGCGUGAGUGAAGAAGUAAUUCGUUAUGUAAAGCUCUAUCAGCAGGGAAGAAAAUGACGGUACCUGAGUAAGAAGCCACGGCUAACUACGUGCCAGCAGCCGCGGUCAUACGUAGGGGGAAAGCGUUAUCCGGAUUUACUGGGGGGAAAGGGAGCGUAGACGGCAGUGCAAGUCUGGAGUGAAAGGCGGGGGCUCAACCCCCGGAUUGCACUUGAAACUGUACGGCUGGAGUGCAGGAGAGGUAAGUAGAAUUCCUAGUGUAGCGGUGAAAUGCGUAGAUAUUAGGAGGAACACCAGUGGCGAAGGCGGCUUACUGGACUGUAACUGACGUUGAGGCUCGAAAGCGUGGGGAGCAAACAGGAUUAGAUACCCGUGUAGUC
rnacentral:rRNA from 1 species